GAGUAUGCGGUAAUCGGGAGCAUCAGAGUGAGUGCAUAAACUAAUGCCAUUGAGCUCGAAAGUAGUUUCUUAAUAACCAUAGCCAUCUCCUCGGAUGCAAGGCCACAAAAUCAGCCACUUUUGUUUUUGUCUAUUUAUUUAAAUGCAAUUUAAAUGCCAGCAGCUUUACUUUUUAAGACAACCAGUUUAACGGGUUCACCGCUUUUCCCUUUUGCCUUAUUUCAAAGUAUAGUCCGUUUUGUUUGAUCCCGCCGGUGUGGCCA
rnacentral:ncRNA from 1 species